UUAAUAACAGAAUUGAACUAUUUAAUCAUUUAUCAUAAACCAUUAAAUGACAUACAUAGUCGCAAGCAGCCAAUAAUUAUACAUUUCCCAAAACCAGUAGUACAGAGUCAAAAGCACUACUAAAACACACUAGAAUUUUUAAAUACAAUACUGUUUUAAAUUACAAUUUAACAGUAGUAUAAUAAAAUAAGAUGAUGAUUCCGAGGUCUGCGAACGUCAAGCAGGUAUACCUUGAAGUCUCCCAUCGCGCAGAUGCAACUCUCAACAACACAAUCAAAAUACCUGGAUCUGCAAAAAAAUGUGCACAAGCGUAGCAUGAGUACACCACAAUGGUACCCGGUAAGUAUCAAGCCUAACCUCGGUAGAGUAGUGACGAGUCCAGGACACCUACUAGACAUAGAAAUCUAUUCAAGAUAUACAUAGCUAACAAUGGAAAGAACAUCAAUGUAAGACCAACGACGAAAAAAUUAUUUAUUUACAACUAACAAUGAAGUAAUAGAAACCUAAAUGGUAGCAAGUAGCAAACGAGUAAUAAAGAAACAACAUAAUCAGAACAUCGAUGAGAUAUAAAUGAACCCAAAUAAGGAAAAACGAAUGACAACUCAAAUAAUCAAAUCGUUUCCAAUGCAUGCACUUACAUCAAGAAUUACCUCGAGGCACCACAACUUAUAAAUCACAAGUCAUGAACCACAAUUUCCAAAUCUUAUACAUAUGGCACCUCGCACCCAUAAUAACAAUCACCUUCGCACGACAAAGCCCACAUGCUACCAUGUACUUUGCAACCAUGAUAAAUAUUAAUUUAGAUGAACAAAAGCUAUAGGUAAACACCAUAAAACAUAAUAACAAUCUUGAAUAAAGUAAGGUGUCAAACGAAAUAAUGAGUUUAUUUUAAAAAUCAAGUAAAGUAAAAUAAUAUAUAAUUUGCAUGAAACAAAGUAAAAGAUGGGUUUAGUUUAGAAAUCAAUAAAAUUGAGUAAAAGUAUCAUUUUUAAACAAAGCAAAACAUAAGUUAAAUUAACGAAUUAAAUAUAUAAUUUGUUAAGGAAAAACAAGAUAACAAUUUUAAGUAAGGUAUGUCACACCUCCUCUUUACCUACACCCCCGGAAGGGAGUAUAUAAAGGGAGUUGUUUCCAACUUAAAGUGACAAUUGAAAUGGGACCAUUUUAUAAAAAAGAAAUUCAGAGUCGCCACUUGGGAUACUUUAUGGUGUCCUAAGCCACCAGUUUAAAUCCUGAAUCGAGGAAAGAUUAACUCUGUAUUACAGUCCGCGAACACAGAAAUCCGGGUAAGGAAUUCUGUUAACCUGGGAGAAGGUGUUAGGCAUUCCCGAGUUCUGUGGUUCUAGCACGGUCGCUCAACUGUUACAAUUGGCAUAUUAUUCGAUUUUAAAACACUUUUGAACCUAUGUGCAUUUACUUUAAACCGCUUUUAAUUACUUUAAGGAAGAUUUCAAUGCCAUCUAGAACAUGUCUUUAGACCGCGCCACAUGAAAUGCACCCGCAAUCCGAAACACAUUUUAUUCAAUAUUGUUAGGAUUUGGAUUUGGGUCACAUGAAAUGCACACCCGAGUUUAGGAAGGUAAUAUUAUUAAAAUAACGAGCCUAAAGCAACUACGCGUUUUUAACUUUGCGAGAGCCAUGGGAAAUUUGCUAAAUGGCGCGCCUCGAGUUCUAAGGAUUUAAAAGAAAUAAAUAAAUGAGGGUCAUGCAUUUGAGAUUUUAUUUGGCACGACACGCCUCAAUUUAUUCUAACCAAAAGGUUUUUAAACUAACUCAUGAGGGCCAUAAAUUGUUAUUGGUUUUGAAUGACACCCCUCACUUGAUAAUAAAACUAGAUAAAAUGAAAACUCGAUUCAUGUCUCGUAUUAACCACCCGCACUUAACGAUCAAACGGUAAUAUGAAAGUGCUGCAUAUUUCUCAUUUUAACAGUCCUUUACGAUGCACUCUAACUAAUUAACAUUGCUGAAUGCUAAAUGCAAUUAAGAGUUAGCUCAGAAAGCUUACAUAAGAAAAUUAAUUACUUAAACAAGAGGCUUGGACCCACAAUAAAUAACGGAAGAUGAGUCAAUGAAGGUGGAACAAGUCCAAAUCUCUGUUGUGAAUAUUCUCAGACCAGGGCCCAAAAUGAGCCCAAGUAUAACAUAAGAGAGGACACUCAAAGGAGUAGUAUCACCCUCUCAGACCCAGCGUUAAGCUCUCAUUGCCUAGGCCAAACGUUAUGAUUCAACGUUCCAAACCAACAAUUGCUUCACCACACGUAAUGGCUAUCAGUGAUACCACAGGAGACCUGAGACUAAGCCUAAUAUAUUUGCUUUUGAGUUUUUAACUAUUCAGGCAUAGAAAAAAUAGGCUAACAUUCUGAAUUCAAUGUUUCUCAAAAUCAGAGAAGUACUUUGGUAAUCAUGACUCACAUUCCAAAUUUACUUGAAUCUACCCUCAAUACAACAGAUGUAACUCCAAACCUACUUGCCAAAACUAGACAUGCAGACAAAGCUCAACUUGGUUAAAUCAACACAAAUGACAAUCUAAGGUUCAACCUCUAACAGAUUCGAAAGGAAAACAGAGCUGAAGCAACAUUAAUCCUCAGCAAAACUAAACAAAGUCCAGAAUACGCAAACAACCAAAUCAAACCUUUGUUGCAACAGUCCUAGAAAUCUCAUGCUAAUAUACAGUGACAAGAACUAAAUUUGCUGAAACAUAACAUUAAGGAGAAAUAUAACUGAAACAUAAAUAGGUUAACACUAUGCUUUAAUCCUCCUUCUUUUCAUUUCAUUUCUUCCAAUCCACAUUCACAAUCAAUAGAGCUUUUACAGUGUGUACCUAGAUACAAACCAAAGAACUACAGAAUUUCAGCAGAGGAGAGUGGUAUCAGCAGUAGUUUGGCAGCAGAAACAACCAGUAAAAUCAACAAUUUCAGUCCAUUUUUGAAAUCCACAACCAGCAAAAUGACAGAUCCUUUUCAAAUUCCAGAAAAUUAGCCCCAAAUUCUAAUUCAAACCAUGCUUUUUUUAAAAAAAAACUCCAAAUGAAUUACAAGUUGCCUCAGACAUUGAAAACUUCAGGAAUCAGUGAAGGGAAUGCAAUGGAAUAGUAUUUUUCCCCUCAAAGAUCUAGCCGUUUUGAUGUUUUCAGAUUCUUAUCUCUUCAGCUCUUCCUUGAAAGGCAAGAUAGAGAUGCCUUUAUAGGCAAGGACUAGGGCAGCCUAUUAGAGACUCAAUUUUGCUCUUAGGCCCCUUUUGAAUUUUCUUUUUUGCUUAUCAACCCCCAGUCAAUUUUUCUUUUUGAUCAACCAACCUUAGUCCAAUUUCAGUUUUAUCAGACAAUUCCCCUUCCCCAGCUUCCUAGAAGCUUUCCUUUCUUGUUACAAAAGAUUCCCCAUUUACAAUAUCCAAUUUACCCAUUAAGCCUCAGUUAUUUACCUUUCAACUCAUGGGUUGACUUAAACCCAAACCCACACCUAACCCAUGAGCUGGACAACCCUCCCCUCCCCUCCCCUCUAUGGGCUCCUGACCUUCGGAUCCCACACCCUAAUUUGAAAUAGUCGAACCCAAAAGCAAACAGGCCGGGAGAGUUAUAAACUCCUGAUAUUGUGAGUCCAAUGAAACCAAAAUUAAACAAAUUUUAGCAAAAUCAAACAAUGACAACAAAUGGCCUAAUAACAAUGGUCGAACUAUGACCCCAAUCUUAACAUACGAGCAAAAUAAAUUGAAAUAGAAUUUAGAAAGAAAAGACAGGAAUCAGAAAUAAACGAAGAGAUGAAAGACACCAAGGAUGGAAACAAGAACAAAAGAGGAGAAAUACCUAAAAGGCCAACAAGCCUGUAUGGACCUCCGACGUCUCUGAUUUAGACCAAAAGUAGUAUUAUCCGCAUGCUCUCCUCGAGAACGAACGGACAAUACUAGUUUCAGUCCAAAUCAUUCUUGAAAAUCUGGGAAAAUUCUCUUUUCUUCUUCUCUCUUUUUAGAUCUAAAAUUAACUGGAUUCGAUGGGGGGUUUUGUAGAGAUUUGCACCAGCAUAGGACUUGAAGAAUUAUGGGGAGUAUGGGGUUGAAUUUUGGUGGUGUCUGGGAGGUCAAUCGCUUGUGAAAAUGGUGGAAUUCCUAAGGCUAUACUAGGGUUGAAGACUGAUAGAGAUGAGAGAGAUGAGAACAAUACAGGGGUGCUUGGGUGGACUGAAUAUUCUCUGAAGUUUCGGACAUUAUUAAGG
rnacentral:lncRNA from 1 species